AUUGAACGCUGGCGGCAGGCCUAACACAUGCAAGUCGAGCGGAUGAAGGGAGCUUGCUCCUGGAUUCAGCGGCGGACGGGUGAGUAAUGCCUAGGAAUCUGCCUGGUAGUGGGGGAUAACGUCCGGAAACGGGCGCUAAUACCGCAUACGUCCUGAGGGAGAAAGUGGGGGAUCUUCGGACCUCACGCUAUCAGAUGAGCCUAGGUCGGAUUAGCUAGUUGGUGGGGUAAAGGCCUACCAAGGCGACGAUCCGUAGCUGGUCUGAGAGGAUGAUCAGUCAGACUGGAACUGAGACACGGUCCAGACUCCUACGGGAGGCAGCAGUGGGGAAUAUUGGACCAUGGGCGAAAGCCUGAUCCAGCCAUGCCGCGUGUGUGAAGAAGGUCUUCGGAUUGUAAAGCACUUUAAGUUGGGAGGAAGGGCAGUAAGUUAAUACCUUGCUGUUUUGACGUUACCAACAGAAUAAGCACCGGCUAACUUCGUG
rnacentral:rRNA from 1 species